AUUGAACGCUGGCGGCAGGCCUAACACAUGCAAGUCGAGCGGAUGAAGGGAGCUUGCUCCUGGAUUCAGCGGCGGACGGGUGAGUAAUGCCUAGGAAUCUGCCUGGUAGUGGUUUAUAACGUCCGGAAACGGGCGCUAAUACCGCAUACGUCCUGAGGGAGAAAGUGGGGGAGCUUCGGACCUUACGCUAUCAGAUGAGCCUAGGUCGGAUUAGCUAGUUGGUGGGGUAAAGGCCUACCAAGGCGACGAUCCGUAACUGGUCUGAGAGGAUGAUCAGUCACACUGGAACUGAGACACGGUCCAGACUCCUACGGGAGGCAGCAGUGGGGAAUAUUGGACAAUGGGCGAAAGCCUGAUCCAGCCAUGCCGCGUGUGUGAAGAAGGUCUUCGGAUUGUAAAGCACUUUAAGUUGGGAGGAAGGGCAGUAAGUUAAUACCUUGCUGUUUUGACGUUACCAACAGAAUAAGCACCGGCUAACUUCGUG
rnacentral:rRNA from 1 species